rnacentral:rRNA from 1 species
AUUGAACGCUGGCGGCAUGCCUUACACAUGCAAGUCGAACGGUAGGGGGGCAACCCCUGAGAGUGGCGAACGGGUGAGUAAUGCAUCGGAACGUGCCCAGUUGUGGGGGAUAACGUAGCGAAAGCUACGCUAAUACCGCAUACGACCUGAGGGUGAAAGGGGGGGAUCGCAAGACCUCUCGCAAUUGGAGCGGCGGAUGUCAGAUUAGCUAGUUGGUGGGGUAAAAGCCUACCAAGGCGACGAUCUGUAGCUGGUCUGAGAGGACGACCAGCCACACUGGGACUGAGACACGGCCCAGACUCCUACGGGAGGCAGCAGUGGGGAAUUUUGGACAAUGGACGCAAGUCUGAUCCAGCCAUGCCGCGUGCAGGAAGAAGGCCUUCGGGUUGUAAACUGCUUUUGUCAGGAAGAAAUCCCUUGGGAUAAUACCUCGGGGGGAUGACGGUACCUGAAGAAUAAGCACCGGCUAACUACGUGCCAGCCGCCGCCGUAAGAC